GGAGAGGAAUACUCUCGGGAAAUGAGGGUAAUCCCCGAUUUCGCUUUGCUCCUGGAAGGGGCAAAACCGGAAACGCUCCGGCCCCACAGGAUGCGGCUGCGGUCGAUUAGGUAGACGGUGGGGUAACGGCCCACCGUGCCCAUAAUCGGUACGGGUUUAAGAGCAAGAGCCCGGAGACGGAAUCUGAGACAAGAUUCCGGGCCCUAUGGGGCGCAGCAGGCCCGAAACCUUUACACUGUACGAAAGUGCGAUAAGGGGGCUCCGAGUGUGAAGGCAUAGAGCCUUCACUUUUGUACACCGUAAGGUGGUGCACGAAUAAGGACUGGGCAAGACCGGUGCCAGCCGCCGCGGUAAUACCGGCAGUCCGAGUGAUGGCCGAUCUUAUUGGGCCUAAAGCGUCCGUAGCUGGCUGAACAAGUCCGUUGGGAAAUCUGUCCGCUUAACGGGCAGGCGUCCAGCGGAAACUGUUCAGCUUGGGACCGGAAGACCUGAGGGGUACGUCUGGGGUAGGAGUGAAAUCCUGUAAUCCUGGACGGACCGCCGGUGGCGAAAGCGCCUCAGGAGAACGGAUCCGACAGUGAGGGACGAAAGCUAGGGUCUCGAACCGGAUUAAUACCCGGGUAGUCCUAGCUGUAAACGAUGUCCGCUAGGUGUGGCGCAGGCUACAGCCUGCGCUGUG
rnacentral:rRNA from 1 species